rnacentral:rRNA from 1 species
UACAGAGGUGGCAAGCGUUGUUCGGAAUUACUGGGCGUAAAGGGCGCGUAGGCGGCCUUCUAAGUCAGACGUGAAAUCCCCCGGCUUAACCUGGGAACUGCGUCUGAUACUGGGAGGCUUGAGUAUGGGAGAGGGAUGUGGAAUUCCAGGUGUAGCGGUGAAAUGCGUAGAUAUCUGGAGGAACACCGGUGGCGAAGGCGGCAUCCUGGACCAACACUGACGCUGGGGCGCGAAAGCUAGGGGAGCAAACGGG